GAUGAAGAACGUAGCGAAAUGCGAUAAGUAAUGUGAAUUGCAGAAUUCAGUGAAUCAUCGAAUCUUUGAACGCACAUUGCGCCCGCCAGUAUUCUGGCGGGCAUGCCUGUUCGAGCGUCAUUACAACCCUCAGGCCCCCGGGCCUGGCGUUGGGGAUCGGCGGAAGCCCCCUGCGGGCACAACGCCGUCCCCCAAAUACAGUGGCGGUCCCGCCGCAGCUUCCAUUGCGUAGUAGCUAACACCUCGCAACUGGAGAGCGGCGCGGCCAUGCCGUAAAACACCCAACUUCUGAAUGUUGACCUCGAAUCAGGUAGGAAUACCCGCUGAACUUAAGCAUAUCAAUAAGCGGAGGA
rnacentral:misc_RNA from 1 species